rnacentral:tRNA from 4 species
GCGUGUGAUGAGUGCGGCUAUCUGCCCUCCGAAGGCAGGGGUUGCUGGUUCGAUCCCAGCCGGGCGCGCCA